GGGGUUUCCUUGUCCCUGGGCCUCAGAACCCACUGGGGAGCGGCCUGUUUAUGGCAAAUGAUGCCUGUUUGCUUUGAUUUCUAGUUCAGACCCUGGGGCCACUACUGUGUCCCCAUAAAUUAAAGGCUGCGUAUAUUUGAGGGAAUUAAGCAAGACUGUGAAGGCCUGGGAACGCCGGGGCCUUCGGAGAGGGCAGGCAUGGCGUGUAUCAUGUCCACAUCAAGGCCGGUGUCUCUGGACUUGGGGACCGGGGUGACACCGUGUCUGUUCUAGACCCACAUACUGGGUGUGCAGACUGAGACCUACCUGCCCAAGCUUGGAGGCUGGCUGCAGACCUGGUCUCCUGCCCCUCCCACCAUGCUGCCUGCUCCGCACAGGGGAUGGCGAGUCCUGCUUCAUGGGCUUACCAGCGGAGUUAAGAUUAAGAAACUGAGGCUAUCGUGGAGUCCGUGAAGGUACCAGUUGCUGUGGCCCUUGGAGCCUGGUCUGAAACCAAAGUCCCCGAAGAAAGCAAGGGCCUGCUAUGGCGGUGUGAGCUCAGGCGGAGUCCUCGAAUGUGCUGACCACCCUUGGUGCAGACAAGGCCGCCAACUUGCAGAGCCCAGAAGGACCCAGCGUGGCUCCCAAACAGACCAGGAGCUCCUCCUGGAUCCCUCUAGCCGAGGCCAGCCUCUGUGUCCUCCUUAGCUCCUCCAAGGGAGGCAGAAAAAGCCAGAGAGCCUCUACCCACUUCUCAGAAGGUAAAACUGAGGCCUGGAGAGGGGCCUCGUCUUGCCUAAAGCCUACUGUGAACCAGCCCCACAGUCCUCUAGCAACCCAGAGGGCACCACGCCUCAGCAGCAAGGUUGGCCAUGUCCUGUCAGUGGCCUUCAGCGGACGCAUCGAGGGCAACCCAGGAUAAUUUGAAACCCUGGGCUUCUGGUGCCAUCCCAGAGACCGCUGCAUGAGAGUGUGGGAGUGCAGGCCAGUUCUGCCAGGCCAUGAAGGCAGGGCUGAGGCUCCCCCGCCAGCAUCCCCACCCCGACUGCCCCACUGGGAGCCCCGCACUCCAUCCCUCCAUCAUCCAACAAAAGCUUCACUUUCAGGGCCCCCCAAAUGGGGUUACGUGAUUCUCUGACUUCUCAAACCAGCCCUGGGCACCACCCUUCAGUGUGUGUCUUUGAGCCGGCAGAAGGUUCUGGACAUUGGCCCAAGGAUGGUAACAGCAACGACAAUAACAGCCAGUCCAUAUUGAGUGUAUCCAUGUGCUAAACCCCUUAUUACCAUGUAAGCCAGACAGUAUUUGGGGUCCUUCAUCACCUCUGUGAAGAGUGUACCAUUAUUAACCCUUUCCUCAGAAGUGGCCGCUGAGAUUCGGUGAGGGUCGGUCAGUCCGCCAAGGUCCCCCAGCUGGUGUGGCAGAACUGGAUCUCAAGGCCACUUCUGUCUGUCUUCCCAAGCUGACCGUCCUCCCACGUGGUCCCAGGGCAGGUGACACAAAGAGGACGGCCCUC